rnacentral:rRNA from 1 species
AUGUCUAUGUCAGAGGGUUCGGAGACUGCUGAUUCCAUGGAUGAGGAUACGAGUCAAAUACCACAUGUUAGAAGGUCCAAGGUAUGGGAGCAUUAUGAAGUAGAUUUGGUUCUCAUAGAUGGUGAUUUCAAGGCUGUGUGCAAAUACUGUGGAGUGCAACUUCACACCAAGUUUGGGACUAGAAGUUUGAGGACCCGUAUUGCAGAGGCUUGCCGAUCAAUCCAAGAUGCUUGCAGACAGAGGUUUUUGUUGACCAUGAAAAAAAAACCACCCGAAGGACUUUUUGUGUUUGAUGAAAAAGUUUUUCGUGAAUGCAUGGUCAAGUAUUGCGUCCAUGCUGAGAUCCCCUUUCUUAAGUUUGAAGAUCCCCACCUUCAGCCAUGGAUUGACUCAAUGCAGCCAGCGUUUCAAAUCAAGGGUCGUCACACAAUUCGUGAUGAUGCAGUGAAGAUGUAUAAGGGAAUGAAGAAAGAUAUCGAAGUAGAGCUACAAAAUAUGGAUUCUCGCAUUUGCUUAACAUCUGACAUGUGGACAUCAUCA